rnacentral:lncRNA from 1 species
CUUCCCUGUAACCUGCCACUACGUAUGGUCUGAAUGGGAAAACUAUACUUUCAUGCUCUUUUCUGGCCGUCAGAAUAUACUGAAAGGUUUGAAAAUGAGCAGUUAAUGUGGGCACUUGGAUAAAGCUAAAACUUGGAAAUCUGUGGAUAAAACAAAUGGAUGGCAGGUUGGUUAAAAAAAAAAAAAGCACCCAGGCUUGGAAUCUGAACAUUAUGCUUCAAACACUGCAGACAUUGCCUUGAUUCUGAUAUGGAAGAUGAUGAAGGCAUGGCCAAAUAUCUGUAAAUAAUGUAAAGCAAGCGUAAUAGAAAUAAAAAGUAAUGAGUCUUCUCC